rnacentral:lncRNA from 1 species
AACAAAGGAAAAAGAAAUGGUUUUGGGCUCAGAGUCAAUGCCAUUAUUCUUUUCGUUGUGUUUGUUCUAACAUAUCAUUUACACUUCUUUUUCUUUUUCAGUUUCAUUACUCAGUUCUUUUUGUCUUUGAUUUUUAUACCCAACUGAGUGUUUCUCAUUCGGUGAGUGCUUUUCUUCGUUCCAUCAAAUUUCUCUUUUCUUUUGUUUCCUUUUUUUUUUCGAUGGUCGUUUUUUUCGCACUCACCUUACUUUCAGUUUCUUA